GGCGCGGUGGCCGAGGAGUUAGGCGUUGGUCUGCAAAACCAAUCACACGGGUGCGAUUCCCGUCCGUGCCUCCA
rnacentral:tRNA from 1 species